GUCCCUUCGGGGACAUCCGAUAAAAUUGGAAUGAUACAGAGAAUAUUAGCAUGGCCCCUGCGCAAGGAUGACACGCACAAAAUACAUCUCCAACAGGUGAGA